rnacentral:tRNA from 1 species
GCCGACGUAGCUCAGCUGGAAGAGCAGGCGACUUGUAAUCGUCAGGUCGUGGGUUCGAGUCCCACCGUCGGCU